UACGUAGGGUGCAAGCGUUGUCCGGAAUUAUUGGGCGUAAAGAGCUCGUAGGCGGCCUGUCGCGUCUGCUGUGAAAACCUAGGGCUUAACUCUGGGCGUGCAGUGGGUACGGGCAGGCUAGAGUGCGGUAGGGGAGACUGGAAUUCCUGGUGUAGCGGUGAAAUGCGCAGAUAUCAGGAGGAACACCGGUGGCGAAGGCGGGUCUCUGGGCCGUAACUGACGCUGAGGAGCGAAAGCAUGGGGAGCGAACAGG
rnacentral:rRNA from 1 species